rnacentral:rRNA from 1 species
CUGGCGGCAGGCCUACACAUGCAAGUCGAGCGGUAGAGAGGUGCUUGCACCUCUUGAGAGCGGCGGACGGGUGAGUAAUGCCUAGGAAUCUGCCUGGUAGUGGGGGAUAACGCUCGGAAACGGACGCUAAUACCGCAUACGUCCUACGGGAGAAAGCAGGGGACCUUCGGGCCUUGCGCUAUCAGAUGAGCCUAGGUCGGAUUAGCUAGUUGGUGAGGUAAUGGCUCACCAAGGCGACGAUCCGUAACUGGUCUGAGAGGAUGAUCAGUCACACUGGAACUGAGACACGGUCCAGACUCCUACGGGAGGCAGCAGUGGGGAAUAUUGGACAAUGGGCGAAAGCCUGAUCCAGCCAUGCCGCGUGUGUGAAGAAGGUCUUCGGAUUGUAAAGCACUUUAAGUUGGGAGGAAGGGCAUUAACCUAAUACGUUAGUGUUUUGACGUUACCGACAGAAUAAGCACCGGCUAACUCUGUGCCAGCAGCCGCGGUAAUACAGAGGGUGCAAGCGUUAAUCGGAAUUACUGGGCGUAAAGCGCGCGUAGGUGGUUCGUUAAGUUGGAUGUGAAAUCCCCGGGCUCAACCUGGGAACUGCAUUCAAAACUGUCGAGCUAGAGUAUGGUAGAGGGUGGUGGAAUUUCCUGUGUAGCGGUGAAAUGCGUAGAUAUAGGAAGGAACACCAGUGGCGAAGGCGACCACCUGGACUGAUACUGACACUGAGGUGCGAAAGCGUGGGGAGCAAACAGGAUUAGAUACCCUGGUAGUCCACGCCGUAAACGAUGUCAACUAGCCGUUGGGAGCCUUGAGCUCUUAGUGGCGCAGCUAACGCAUUA